UAGGGAAUCUUCCACAAUGGACGAAAGUCUGAUGGAGCAACGCCGCGUGAGUGAAGAAGGGUUUCGGCUCGUAAAACUCUGUUGUUAAAGAAGAACACGUAUGAGAGUAACUGUUCAUACGUUGACGGUAUUUAACCAGAAAGUCACGGCUAACUACGUGCCCG
rnacentral:rRNA from 1 species